AGGAAUAGGGCGGGUGGAUGCUUCGGUUCUCCGUGCUUCAGUCAGCCCGGGGGCUCCGCUCUUCUCCAGGUGGGCUUUCGGCUCACCGAUCUGCCCGAAGGAGCGGGUAGUGCUGAGACAGCGGGAAGGCGGCCCGCCCAGUCAGUGUCAGUCAGUCAGUCACCGUGCCCCUCAGCAGCUCUACUUCACAGUGAAGGACUGCAGGGAGUUUUGCAGGAAAUGCUAGUGAUGUGUACAUGGCAACCAGCAGGUCAGGAGAGCUGCUGUAAGGAAUGGGAGCAGCUGAAAAUAGCUGAAAAGAAGAAAAGAACAGAAAAGUUUGCUUUUGUUGGGGAUGCAAGAAGCUGCCUGAGAUUCUCAGCCUCCUCUGCAGUCUCGUGGUUACUCUGAUGACUUCACUCUUCUGCCGUGGCUCAGUGUGACAACCUGUACCUGGUAAAUAAAGCAUCUGUAUGUAGAAUAACAGAACCAGCAAAGAAUGGAAAUGAUCUCCUCUGAAGUAGAAGCACAGAGGACUCUGCUCCUGAGGACUGGUGCAUAUCCCAGCCCCACACAGCUGAGAGCGGGGACCGGCGCGAUAGCAUCUCUCUGUACAGAUUCCGUAAUUAAUUUUAAUUUCUUUAAUUAAGUAUUUAGUCUUUGGGGAAGGAGUAUGAAAAAGUUGUUUCAUAAACUGACAAUGGGCAAUUGUUCUAAGUUUCUUAUCCUGCAGGCACGCAGGAUAAUGAGAGCUAUAGAAAUACUUGGGCAGAUUGAUUGCACGGAGCAGAUAGGAAUCCCUUGGCACAAUCCUCUCAUCUGUUUUCAAAGUAACAGGCACCUCCCAGCUCUUCCAGUGAACAUCACUGUUCCCCCGUGCUGCAAGAAGUUAAACCAGCUUUGUCUGAGUGCAGCUAGUGGGGGACAAAUAUGACAACACUGAAAUGAAAGAAAUACAGAAGGAAAUGGACAGAUGGGACUGAAUUACCACUCUCUAUUGUGAGCAGGACCAAAAAGCAGUGCACAGUAAAAAUCUGGAGACAUCAGUGAUUUCAGAUUCAAGGGGAGAACUUAAGAGAUUUGUAUCCAAAUGUAUUUUCCCUGCACACGUGGAAGAAAUCUUUACAGACUGACUCAAAAAGUGUCCUGUAUGAUAUCAUGUGCAUGUGUCAGAUCAGGAGGUGACACUGGGAAAAUGGCCACUAGUCACAUUUAUUGGACUCCUUGCAUUCAGUGCAUGGAAUGCAGGGGCUUCACUUCAACACUACAAUUUCUCCAGC